GCAAAUUAUUCACCUGUUUCUUUUUGGCUUAUUUAUCUUCUCAUAGCAGGAGAGGCCGACUCGUUUGUAAAAAGUCAAAAACAAACAGAAAGCCUCCCAAAUGGGGGGCUUUUUCAU
rfam:Vibrio azureus NBRC 104587 DNA, contig: VAZ01S045.